UACAGAGGGGGCAAGCGUUGUUCGGAAUUACUGGGCGUAAAGGGCGCGUAGGCGGCCCGCUAAGUCGAACGUGAAAUCCCCGGGCUCAACCCGGGAACUGCGUCCGAUACUGGCAGGCUUGAAUCCGGGAGAGGGAUGCGGAAUUCCAGGUGUAGCGGUGAAAUGCGUAGAUAUCUGGAGGAACACCGGUGGCGAAGGCGGCAUCCUGGACCGGUAUUGACGCUGAGGCGCGAAAGCCAAGGGAGCAAACGGG
rnacentral:rRNA from 1 species